rnacentral:misc_RNA from 1 species
AACCCUUGUGGAGGAGGACGCCGAAGGUGGGGCUAAUGACUGGGGUGAAGUCGUAACAAGGUAGCCGUACCGGAAGGUGCGGCUGGAUCACCUCCUAACAGGGAGACAACAAAAUGUUAAAUAUUAAUUUUGUCACCUUAGGUCGAUCGGUAUCUCACAUUCUUAAUUUAUUAAGAAUUUUAUUUCCUAAGUUUUUUCUAGGUCACACCCAUUAUUUUCCCUGGGCCAUUAGCUCAGGUGGUUAGAGCGCACCCCUGAUAAGGGUGAGGUCCCUGGUUCAAGUCCAGGAUGGCCCAUAUCUCUAUGUUGGGGGUAUAGCUCAGUUGGUAGAGCGCCUGCUUUGCAAGCAGGAUGUCAGCGGUUCGAGUCCGCUUACCUCCACUGAUUACCACCUCUUCCAUAAUUUAAAGAAGGGAAAUUUUUUGAGUUGUGAUCAAAUUCUGAACGAAUCUAGCUUCCUAAUAAUUUUAUUAAGAUGCUGGACUCAUUGAAUUAACUUUCAUUGUUUUCAGAGAACCUUGACAACUGCAUAGAUUAUUUUUAAAGACAAUAAGCAUCUUUAAUGAUGCAGAUUUAUUAUUUGUGCGAAUGCAUUAAAUAACAAUUCUAUUAAGCUGAUGCUUCAAAUUUUUGAAGUUAUUGGUCAAGCUACAAAGGGCUCACGGAGGAUACCUAGGCACACAGAGGCGA